CCGAAAAUUCUAUAUUUUCGUAGGGGGUUAACACAUAGAUUUUGAGAAAAAUUCAAAAAAAUGAAAAUUCUAUUUUAAUGCAUAGUUGCAUCCUUCACUAACAUAUGAUGAAGGUCAAAGAGGUUUGGAACCUUUGUUGUCUCCAUUUUCUAAAGAAUAGCUAUGUAUAGUGGUUACUCAACCAAGUUAGGGAGUAUUAUGAAGUUUUACCAAAUUAAUUGACAAAAAAUUUAAACGAUGCUCAUGUACCAUAAAAAUAGUUUAAUAUACAUUAAUACAAAUAUAGAAUGUGUUUAGAAAUUAUAAAACAACACUAAAAUCAUAGACUUCAGUAUAUUAAGCAUUUUUCGAAAAAUUAAAUAUUUUCGUAGGGGUUAACCCAUAGAUUUUGAGAAAAAUUCAAAAAAAGGAAAAUUCUAAUUUAAUGCAUAGUUGCAUCCCUCACUAACAUAUGAUGAAGGUUAUAGAGGUUUGGAACCUUUGUUGUCUCCAUUUUUCUAGAGAAUAGCGAUUUUAUAGUGGUUAGUCAACCACUAUGGGGAGUAUUAUGAAGUUUUACUAAAUUAACUGACAAAAAAUUUAAUCGAUACCCAUGUACAAUG